CUUUGCUUUCCCCUCUUCUCCAGACGCUUUCUUCAUCUUUCAUAUUUGUUUUGUUUGUUCGAUUAUUUUUUUUUAUUAUUUUGCUUGAUCUUGUUCCUCCCUGACCAACUAGGACACAAGUUCAAUUAGGGUCGAGAUCAUUUGUUCUUUUUAAAUAUUUGGAUGUGAAUUUUAAGUUGAAUCAAACUGAAACCUUAAGUCCAUUUUAUAUAAUAGAUUACAAAUCUAGUUACCGAAAGAUGAAAUAGAUAAGAAAAUUUAGUGUUUAUGAUUUUUAGAGAUGAUUUGGUUAAGGUAUUGUUUGUGGUUGAUACUGUUGUUGUAUUACAAAGGUUAAAAAGUAGAAUUCUGAGUUGUUUGCUAAUUCGAUUAAGUUGAUUCGAUUGAUUGGCUUUAUUCUGUGACGUUAAAUACAACAAGUAGAUGUUAUAAGAAGAUAUCGGUGAAGAUUCGAACGAGAAAACAUGGAUCAAGAUUAGGUUUAUUAUCUUUGAUAUAAGGUGGGAACGGAGAUGAUUGGAAGUGGUUUAUGGUUGUUAUUAGAAAAAGUUUUUGAAGUUGAAAACAACACGAGUAUGAAUAGUUUACUGAAUUAGGUUUAUUUUUGCAGCAAGAAUUCAUCGAAAGAGGUGAACUGAAGCCGUAUUAUUUAUGGCUAAAUGGGUGCAAUUGAUGAUGUGUUUUUAGAAGUUGAAUAUGAUUAGAACAUAGGACUUGUAUCGAAUUUUUGUUCUGCAGGGAAUGAAUUGAUUUGGUUAGUCUCCAAGAAUAAGUUUAUGGCUAAGAAUUGAUUUACUGUUGAUGGUUUGUGGGAAUAGAUGGCAAAGAUGUGUCAAGAGAGAGAAAGUCAAGGGUGUAAAGAGGCGAUUUUUCUUGCAACGUUGACUCUGGUCAAGUUCUUAAUUUCAUCAAAAACUGAGUGGUUUUCUUCUGAGAUUUUGAUUCUUCCUUUACUUUUCCGGAUUCAAUGAUUGGGUCUGGUAAUCUUCGAUGGAUUGAUAUGCUGGGUUUAGGGAAAGAUGAGAUAAUUCAUGAUCCUCUUCCUUAUGAACCUCCGGGUAUGGUUGAGGGUGAUAAACUAACGGUUAACUCAUAUGCUGAGGUAGAGGAUGAUGUUCAUCGCUGUGAGAAAUUGAUUGUAGGGUGUUUUGUGGGUAAGAGAUUACCAUUUUUGAUGGUCAGGAAUUUUGUUAGAAGGGUAUGGAAGCUAAAAGGUGACAUGUAUAUGACGCUUCAUGGAGAUGCAAUAUUUGUGUUUAAAUUCGAUUCUGCUGAAGAUAGAGCUGCGACUUUGGAGCAUGGCUGCUUGUUGAUUGCUAGGCAACCUUUUCUUGUUAAACCCUGGUCAUUGUUGAUUGAGAAGGAGUGUUUGAGCUAAAUACAAUACCCAUUUGGGAGUAUCCCUCUUCACAUGUGGAAUGUUAAAGGGCUAGGUAAGUUGGCUAGUUUUAUUGGAAUUCCUCUUUUGUUGGAUAUGCAGACUGCUAGUAGGUAUGAAAUGACUUAUGCUAGAGUUUGUGUGGAAGUAAGUAUUGAAUCUGACUUACCAAGUAAUAUUAAUUAUAUGGUUGAGAACACUAGAAUUAAGGUCCCUAUUGAGUACUCUUGGAAACCUUUAACGUGCUCUCAUUGUGUUGUGUUUGGACAUUCUACUGAGAAAUGUGAUGUUGUUGUUGUUUCUGCAUCAAAAGUUGCUGCUGAAGCUAGAGCUGCAAAGAAAAUAACUAAGCCUAGUAAGGAAAAGGAGAAGCCUAUUAGUGGUAAUGAAGGGUGGUUAAGAGUUUAAAGAGAGGAAGGGUAAAAAUUAAGCUCAACAUAAAAGUGGUACUGCCGGCCUAGAUAGAGCUUCUAGUAAUGGUACUUCUAAUAUGGUGGAAGUUCAUAUUACCGUGAAUAAUAAGUUUCAUCAAUUGACUGAGGCAGGGACUGGUGAGUUCAUGGGGUGGUAAUGACUACUGUAACUAAGGAUACUCACAUUUUGGAUCCUAGUGGGAAUAGUGGGAUUGAUGGAGGAAGUAAGGCUUGUCCUCAACCUCAUGGUUUUAUCUCAGAGGCUACUGUGGGUAAUCAGAAAGUUGGAUAUGCUUUGACUGGGUUUGUUUUAACUCAGGUAGAAAAAUUGGAUAAGCGUCAGAAGGAAAAUGAGUUAAAUGGUGCUAGAGCUCAUUUUCUGCCAAAGUCUUCUAUCCAAGGAAAGAAUAUGUUGAAUGUAAAGGUUUGCAGAAAAGAAUUUUGCAAAGGUAAAGAAACCUAACUCUUCUCUUUUAUCAUGAUUAAGUUUGGGUGUUGGAAUAUAAUGGGUCUUAAUGAUCCUUUAAAACAAAGUGAAGUAAAUAAUUUUUAUUAGAAAUAAUAAGUUAUCUAUGGUUGGUGUAGUAGAGACUCAUGUUCAGCAAGUUAACAAAGAUAAAAUAAGGAAUAAAAGUUGUCACUCUUGGUAGUUUGUGGGUAAUUAUUCUCAAGACUGUUUUGGGAGAAUUUUGGUAGGAUGAAAUAUGGAGCUUAUGUGUAGCACUGCUCUUCAUACUUCCGCUCAAGCUAUCUUUCUAGAUGUUACUACUUUUCAGAAUAAAUUUUUUAUUGUCAAUUUUGUGUA